UUUGAAAUUUUUUUUAUAACAGAUGUCUUAUUCAGUAGUUAUUUUUAAUAUUGAUAAUGAAGUGGCAACAGUGUCCAGUAAAUGGUUCAAAGAUUCAGGAUGCGUUUUGUGGCCCAACUGUAGAGUAGGGAAGAAAUUGCAAAACAUGUUACUAAACCAUGAAGAGCCAGGUGCUGACUGGAUUUCUUAUGAAGUACGAGUGUUGUCCAGUAACAUCUUAACUCUCAAAUCAGCAAGGGCAAAGGAGCGACUAGCUGAGGAAAAUUCUGAUCUUAGUUCAGCUGAAGAUGGUAGCAGAAUUAUAUAUGCCCCUAGCAGAUUUAACAGUCAAGAAUAUUGUCAACCACCAUCCAAAAUCAGCAAAUUAACUUCAAAUAGCCAUACCACUUCCUAUUUAAACAACCCCUUGAUUCCUCAUGCACCAUCACUAGUUUCUAAUCCAUCUUUAAUUCAAACUUCAGCAUCGUUUUCUAAUGAUGAUCAUAGCAUAUUUAAUACGCAAGAGUUUUUACGACCCUUAGCCAAAAAUAGAAAAUUUAAUUUUAACUGCCAAACCACUUCAUCUAAUAACUAUCCUUCAUUUCCAGAUAAAUCAGCACUAGUUCCUGAUUUUUCAAUUUCAAACUCUGUUCAAACUCCAACACCAAUCUCUACUAAUGUUCCUUGUGCAUAUCAUUGUACGCAUGUUGUUACGUGGUUUGAGAAAUUAUUUAAAGAAAUACAACAAAUGCGUGCAGAACAGACUGUGAUAAAUCAUCGUUUAGAUCAACAAUGUCAAAAUGAGCAUCAGCAUGUAGAUAGCAAUUUUAUGAAUUGUCUUCCACUUGAGAGUGAAGUUGAUUUUGAACGAUUCGGUAUAGAGAUAGAUAGUGACAAUGGAAAACGAACUUCUUUGAUACGUUAUUUGCGGAAGAGGUCAGACUCAAAUGUCAACAAGACCAUACUAAAUAUAUUAAGAAGUUUAUUAAAGGACAAUGUUCUUAGUUGUUAUUCUAGAGAUGGGAAACGCGGAAAAAAAAGUUUUUCUUCAGCAAAGGGAAACUUUGUUUCCAUAAUUCAAGAUGUUGUUUUGAAAGUUCAUAAAGGUGUGUCGUUGGUCCAAAUAAAUGUUGCGAUUUCGGAACAAUUAAAGAGACUCAAUCAAAGAAAUCGAAAUUCUAAGUCUACAACAGCUGAAGAAACUACACCUGAAAUUCCAGAGUUUGAUUAAAAACCAAUUAUAUAAAGUCUUUUUUAUUGUUGAGAAGACUUAUAAGUUUGAAAGAUCCUGCUUACACACUUUGGUUAGCACUAUGACAUGUUACUUAUUUAGGGAUAGGCGAGGGCUUCAGUACAUACACUGACUGAUUUAGGGAGAACUCGCAAAAAAAUACAGCAAAUGCUGGAAGCUAGAACAGGAAGUUAUAAAUCAGCAUCUUGAUGGUAAAAUGAAAAUCAACAACUAGUAGCACUUCUUUGAAUUGUCUUUAAAUUAGAGUAAUGUUAAUUUUGAUUGGUAUGGAGAUAGAUGCAUACAAUGGAAAACGAACUGCUGUUAUAUUUUUGGAAGAUGUUAAACAACAAGAUGUAAUUCGAGAUAUUGUUUCUAAAAUUCUUAAAGACGUGUUAUUCGUUCAAGUAAACGAUGCUGUUAAAGCAGGUUGUCUGAGCAGUUAAAGAAACUUAAUCAAAUGAUUCAAAAUUCUCUUCUUUAAGCAGCCGAAGCAACGAUACUCGAAAUGCCUGGAAUGGAUAAUUAACCAAGUAAUAAAUAAACUUUGAAAUAAAGUUUAAAAAUAAAAAAUGUCUUGUUUA